rnacentral:rRNA from 1 species
UCAAACAUAUCCUCUAUGGUUUCAAGGGGAUACGGAGGAUGUUACUCUUCAUAGGUGGACCGUUCGCGUGUUUUCUAUUCGGUGCAGGUCGAACCCGAGGACUUCUAAAACAACUCGUAUCGAAGAACAGGUGCUCUGGGUGGGGUAAACUCGACGCGUUAGAGAAAUUCGUUCACGCAUUAGUAAAGCUCUUCGAUAGUGGACACUGGUAACUUUCACUUAGACUUUUCAAACUGUUUCGGGUGUCGUGUUCUAUGGGGAAUGGAGGGGGACGGUGUCUCUUUCUUCUGUGAAUGGUAUAUCACGCUUAUGCCUGGGUGGUAGCAAAGUUCGUGUCACGCGCAGUCUCUCAAUAGUACCUCAAGGAUACA